AUUUUUUUUUCAGGAUUUUCCAGAAGUGUUCCUCAAAGGAAAAAAAAAAAAGCGCAUAGUUAGUGAGUGUCUUGAUGAAAAGUUUCUUCAUAAAAACUACAACAGAGGACUUCAGGUUUCAACUAAGAUGGCACCAUGGGGAGAUCCAGAAUGCCCUUCUACAGACACAUGGGUGGAUGAGAAAACACAAACAUCAAAAACAGAUUUCCAUUAGACAUUAGGGAUUUCUUUGAAGAACAAAAAGCAAACAUCACUGUAAAGAGUGAACAUGGAGAAGAGGCCUGAUUAAACCCAAGUCUUUUGACCCCAAAUCCCAUUUAUCAUCUUAUGUUAAUUUGGUAUCAGGUGAUCAAUGUUAAAGGCAACUGAUUAAGUUUUAUGUGUUUUAUUUUUUUAAUUGGAACAAGAUUUCCAAGGUCCAGUAUGUGUUCACAGAAAUUGUAAAUUGAUUUUGCAUAAUGACCUAGGGACUGUACCUCAGCACUCUUUUCCUUAGCAGCAUGAAAAUUAUGCGUAUCUACUGUGACCCUCAAAAUUGCUAGUGUUUCAUUUGGCUAUAAGUCACCAAAUGAAGAGUCCUGUUCUUCGUCUUUUUUUUUUUUUUUUAAGUUCCAUCUACACUACAUAAAACUAAUACCCUCCCCCCAGUUGGCCUUGAUAAGGGAACAAAUAUAUUAACAAAUGCAUUUUCCCUUUUUCCACCUUCUAAACUUUCUACUCAUUUUCUUCUGAUUUGAACUUUGCAGACAGGGUUUGAGCUUUUUGUAAUGCAGGACUGGGAGAAAAACGUGAAGAGAAAUAAGAAAAAGUGCUAGUGUAGUCUAUAGAGAAAAGCUGAGUGAGCAAAAGAGGAGCUGGAAACUGUUAGCAUAGACAAGUUGUGCGGGUGGGUGAAGUAGGAUGGAGUGAGAUUAAAGUGUUGAGAUGUUUGUGAGAACACAGUCUGGAACAUAGAUUUAUUAGACAUUGGGCUGGAAAGCCUUAAAUAUAUGGAAGGCGAAACAGAAUUAGUGAGUUGAGAAAAAAGGAUUUUUAUAGAUGGAGCCAUGGAGUGAGUUUUUGGCUCUGUGGGUCACAGGGCCCAUGCUGUUUGUUUGUUUUGCCAAGGAAUCAUUCAUUUUCCUGGUGGCAAUGCUUACUCUGUCUUUGCAUAUCUGAACUUGUCAACUAUCACUGAGAGAGCUGUUUAACAACAAGUCUGCUUUGUAGCAUAGCAUCUCUGUCAGGGAGCAGAGGAUGCCUACAUCUCAAACCUCAAAAGAGAAUGAGGUUAUCAUUACUGCCAAUUGUCUAGCAUAUAAAGGAAGGAAACAAGUUACUACUUCACAGACAGAGGAAAAAGCAGUGAUUAAGUUUGUUUGACUGCCCUAAAAAUCAAUGCUAUGGGUGGAGAGUCAUUGAAAUUUUUGAAUCACUGCUUAAAUUUCUACCUGUAGAAGGAGAUUGACCUCAUCAGCAAAGAACUGAAAUACCUUUGCAGUUCAGAUCUGAUUAUCUGAUAUUCAGAUAAUAUUUGUUAAAAUUAGGAAAUUAAAUAUUCCUCUGCUCAGAGCACUUUGGAGUCAAAAAAGUUUUUCAGCAUUUUGAAAAUGUAUAUUUGAUUGAAUGGACUGUUAAUUUUUUAAAUUUCCUGUAACAUUUUAACAAACAAUGUUCUCAGAGAAUGAUGCCCAAUAUGAGAAGAUAAUAUGGCAUUUUGAAAGUCAACUAAUUAAACAAUAAAUUAAUAAUAUGUAUUAAUUUUAUUGAAUUA
rnacentral:lncRNA from 1 species